rnacentral:rRNA from 1 species
CAAUAGCGUAUAUUAAAGUUGUUGCAGUUAAAAAGCUCGUAGUUGGAUUUCUGGAGGGAGCGAUCGGUCUGGCGCUUAGCGCGAGUACUUGCAUCGUCUCCGGCCAUCCUUGGGGAGAGUCUGUCUGGCAUUAGGUUGUCGGGCAGAGGAUCCUCAUCGUUUACUGUGAAAAAAUUAGAGUGUUCAAAGCAGGCUUAUGCCGUUGAAUAUAUUAGCAUGGAAUAAUAAGAUAGGACUUUGGUACUAUUUUGUUGGUUUGCGCACCAAAGUAAUGAUUAAUAGGGACAGUUGGGGGUAUUCGUAUUCCGUUGUCAGAGGUGAAAUUCUUGGAUUUACGGAAGACGAACUACUGCGAAAGCAUUUACCAAGGAUGUUUUCAUUAA